UACGAAGGGGGCUAGCGUUGCUCGGAAUUACUGGGCGUAAAGGGCGCGUAGGCGGACAGUUUAGUCGGGGGUGAAAGCCCGGGGCUCAACCUCGGAAUUGCCUUCGAUACUGGCUGUCUUGAGUACGGGAGAGGUGUGUGGAACUCCGAGUGUAGAGGUGUAAUUCGUAGAUAUUCGGAAGAACACCAGUGGCGAAGGCGACACACUGGCCCGUUACUGACGCUGAGGCGCGAAAGCGUGGGGAGCAAACAGG
rnacentral:rRNA from 1 species